GUUAAUUCCCAGAAUAUGGCGCUAUUGUGUUUUUUAUAUUUUGUAUUUUUAAUUAAUAUUGUCACAGCAAAUUUUAAGUAAAACUGACUUGACACUUAUUUUGCAUGAAAUACUUUAGACUACAAUCUAGUUUCUAACUUUUCAUUUACCUAUCAACACUCAAACGUCAUUUCUUCACUCUCACUUCGCCAAAAAUCCUAGGCAAUUUUCAAGCUGAAAUUCAUCAAAAAUCUUCCAAGAGAUAUUCACCCAACAUCAUUUCAUCAACAUAUAUUCAUUUUCGCAAAAGGUUAGUCUCUUGAUAGUCAUGGUCGAUUCUACAAGCACCUCUCAUAUAACAUUUGUUGCAACCACUAUUAAUACAAAUGUAAAAGAAAAACUAGAGGUGUCACGGUGUAUACUAAGGUGAAAAAAGACCACAAAAGUGGUGUUCGCUGCUCGGUUAGAGUUGAUAUAGAAACCGACAGAACUUAUGGUGAACAUGUUGAGGAUUUUAUGAGUUACAUUGUGUUACAAGGUAGAAGUAAAGUGACUAUUUUGUUAGAUAAUUGGCACGACGUUGAUGAUGACAUAAAGGACGCCAUAUGGAAAGAUAUUACGGAUAUGUUCAUUGUAAGUGCAAAUGAUACGAACGUGGAAAAGAAAUUGCUUACAUAUUAUGGUGAAUGAUAGAGGGGAUUUAAGACACAGCUCACCCAUGAUUAUAUUAAACAUGCAGAAGAUAAAUAAGUGCCUACAUACGAGGUGUAUUCAUUUAUUAAUCAAGAUGUUUAGGAUAAAUUUGUAAAGUCUCGCACCACUACUAGCUUCUUGGCAAAGAGCCAAAAAGGAAAGGAAAAUCAGCUAGAAAUAUUUGUCCACGUAGGUUGUCUCAUGGAGGAAAUCAAAGACUUGAAUAUACGAUGAUUGGAAAAAAAACAAAGGGAGGAAGAUCUGGGAGGUUCUAUAACUCUUGAUUUCAUUUCAUCUCCAUUAUCAUGCCACAAGAAAUGGAAGAGAGCAUGUCAAAGAAAAGACGGCGAGUUCACAUUAUAUGCUACGCGCCAUGUGGUUCAAAAGAUUGAUGAUCUGGUUGAACAAAUCAAAGUCGACUUCUUUACUUAAAAAGAUAGUCAUGACAUCAUGGUAGAAGCGAUUAGUAUCGAGGAGCAUCAUGGGCGUGUAUGUAAUUUUUGAAGAGGCGUUCGCUUCAAGGUUUUUUUGGACCAUUUAAAUAAUCUAGAGAGAAAAACCAUAAGAGAGAGAUUGAAGAGAUUAUUGUUGUAGAGUUGGGGAAGGAA